ACUUAUAUAGUUUAUAUAAAAUUCUAGUUUGUGGGUCUAGAGAAGUAAAAUUUACUUUAAGUA
rnacentral:tRNA from 1 species